CCUACGGGUGGCAGCAGUGGGGAAUAUUGGGCAAUGGGCGCAAGCCUGACCCAGCAACGCCGCGUGAAGGAAGAAGGCUUUCGGGUUGUAAACUUCUUUUAUCAGGGACGAAGCAAGUGACGGUACCUGAUGAAUAAGCCACGGCUAACUACGUGCCAGCAGCCGCGGUAAUACGUAGGUGGCGAGCGUUAUCCGGAUUUACUGGGUGUAAAGGGCGUGUAGGCGGGAGUGUAAGUCAGAUGUGAAAACUAUGGGCUCAACCCAUAGACUGCAUUUGAAACUGGACUUCUUGAGUGCUGGGGAGGCAAGCGGAAUUCGGGGUGUAGCGGUGAAAUGCGUAGAUAUAAGGAAGAACACCAGUGGCGAAGGCAGAUUGCUGAACAGUAACUGACGCUGAGGCGCGAAAGCGUGGGGAGCAAACAGGAUUAGAUACCCGGGUAGUC
rnacentral:rRNA from 1 species